rnacentral:tRNA from 1 species
GGGCCGGUGGUCUAGCUGGCUAGGAUAUCCAGGCGGUCCUAAGAGCCGCCUCACACGCGGCUGAUCCCCGGUUCGAAUCCGGGCCGGCCCA